AGCGAACGCUGGCGGCAGGCCUAACACAUGCAAGUCGAACGAACUCUUCGGAGUUAGUGGCGGACGGGUGAGUAACACGUGGGAACGUGCCUUUAGGUUCGGAAUAACUCAGGGAAACUUGUGCUAAUACCGAAUGUGCCCUUCGGGGGAAAGAUUUAUCGCCUUUAGAGCGGCCCGCGUCUGAUUAGCUAGUUGGUGAGGUAAAGGCUCACCAAGGCGACGAUCAGUAGCUGGUCUGAGAGGAUGAUCAGCCACAUUGGGACUGAGACACGGCCCAAACUCCUACGGGAGGCAGCAGUGGGGAAUCUUGCGCAAUGGGCGAAAGCCUGACGCAGCCAUGCCGCGUGAAUGAUGAAGGUCUUAGGAUUGUAAAAUUCUUUCACCCGGGACGAUAAUGACGGUACCCGGAGAAGAAGCCCCGGCUAACUUCGUG
rnacentral:rRNA from 1 species